CUUUGGGUAUCUCAAUGGUUUAACUACCAACUUACCAAUUUGGGGGUCCCAUGGUUCAAUUCCUGGCCUAAAUU